rnacentral:rRNA from 1 species
CGUGGGUAACCUGCCCAAGAGACUGGGAUAACACCUGGAAACAGAUGCUAAUACCGGAUAACAACACUAGACGCAUGUCUAGAGUUUAAAAGAUGGUUCUGCUAUCACUCUUGGAUGGACCUGCGGUGCAUUAGCUAGUUGGUAAGGCAACGGCUUACCAAGGCAAUGAUGCAUAGCCGAGUUGAGAGACUGAUCGGCCACAUUGGGACUUAGACACGGCCCAAACUCCUACGGGAGGCAGCAGUA